UAGUGUCCAGGUGAUAGGCCUGCUAUGGACAGUGGGAUCUGGAGGGCUGGGGCACUAGUGUCAGGAUGCCAGGACCUGAAGGGUUCCUUAUUAAGUAAUAGGGAGUGAGCCUGGAGUCGGUUGGUGGUGGAUUUUUGUAGCAGAGAACAUCCUAGCAAGUCUCCUGUUACAAUUGGUGCCUGAAGAGGGUCCCUUCUGCUAGUCAUGUCACAUGUGGAAGAGGACCCAACAGCCGCAAGGUAGCAGCACACAUACCAGCGAACUCCAGAUCAAGCUGAACUCAUGGGCAUCAGUACCAGACUAAGGGUGUUAUAACGUAAUGUUGGAAACAGCUGGAAGAAGAACCAGAGACAACUUGAUGGAUCCCACUUGUAGACUAGCGGCGGCACGUGUCCCCACAUCAAGGAAAACCAUCAACAUGAAUAAUAAUGACGAAUGUCGUUCAAAGUAUUAUCCUGCACUCUGGUCAAGGAGAAGAGCAGCAGAAAGCAGGGCAAUGUCACCUGGCUACCGUACUGUGGCUCCAGUAAGCAGAGCAGACCUUCAGGUGCAUCAUCAUGACCCAUUUCCAAGACCUUAGCCUGGAAAGCUGGAUUUGAUGAUAGUGAUCCAUAUUCAUACUCUCGCCUGUCCACAUAUCGCUUGGAGAAUGUAACAUGCAGGUGUCACUGUGGCCUCACUCACAGCCAUCCCCAUGCAUUCCCUCCACCUUCUUGAAACCUGCUGGUAGCUGGAAAACGAGAAAAAGAGAACUGAGAAUUGCUUUGAUGGAAUUGUGAUUUGUAGAAUUUCUCCUCUUAGUCCCUGCCUCCUACUUGCUCUCUAGCCACUCCAAAGUCUCUCUCUCCCAUAGAAAACCAUUUUCUAUUUAUCUCUGCCACCACUCAAUCAAUUCAUCAUCCCUGGAACACCACAAACACGAUUUUACAGCUACAUCCUGCAGAUGUCGAAGAAACGUAAAGCAACCGAUAGUGAGUCUGACUACCCCCGGGCUGCAUCCUCAACAAGGCUUGACAGAGCAGACCAAGGCGUUCUCCAGACCAUGUGAUCUCUUAUGUGAAUAAUGAAUAUCGACCGGAGUCACCAUCUGCACAGGAAUGAACAAUUUCUUCAGAGGUUCCGUGUUCCCAGAGAAAUCACAUAUAGAUGGUAAGGCUUAUGCAGCAGACUGAAGCAAAAGCAGUGCCGUUAUGCUAGGGGGACUCAUGGGGGGAGUAUCCCUCAGUCCUUGGAGUUUACCCCAGUGGAGGAGCAGGAAGUGAUGUUAAUGUGAGAGGAUCAUUCUGAGGAGUUUAUGGUACUUGCAACCCUAGUACCAUCAGUGGCACUUCCCUUCACCAGGAAUGCCAUAUAUUGGGAGAAUACAGCAUCACUAGUAUGACAGAAUGAUCUCUUGGAGAGGCAGACUGAGGCCAUCAUUGAUGACAUGAGGGACUCCUCUGCUCUUCUUGCUCAAGGACUGAGGAAGUUUGUGGACAGGAUCACCAGCCGCAUCAAUAACAGAUGCACAGCCCUCCACCUCCCAUCAGUGUCCAGCAACCUGUGGCCAGGCUGGUCUCAUCCCUGCAAAGAAAA